CUCUCUCUCUCUCUCUCUCUCUCUCUGUGACUCUGUCUUCUCAAUGUCUUUCUUUCGACUUAGGCUUACAAAGAAUAGAUCUUAACCAUUACUACACCCUUCUUCUUCUUCUUCUUCUUCUGCUAUAUUUUGAUUGUUUAAUUCUUCCAACUUAGCUUGGCUUUCCUUGCUUGCUGCUGCUGCUGUUGUUCUUCCUUCUUCUUCUUAAUGAUUCACAUCUAAUCUCAUCCACCGGAUUUCCAAAUAACUCACAGUGUAUUCUGACCCACAAGUCCUUCACACCCAUGGAAUCUAUGAAUUACACAAGGAAAAGUAGUUGGCUCCGUGUUGUUACUUUGAGCUAAUUCCUUUUUUUGUUUUUCAUGAAAUAAUUUUAAAAAAUUCAAUUUUAAUUUCUCAGUCGUUGAGAACCGUAUAUUCUAUUAGGGUUCCCCCAAGGCCUCAGGUCAUUGGAUCCACUUACUACAUCAGCCAAUGCUUGUGGCUGACAUACACAAUACACCAAUUGUUCUUUUUUCUUUUUUCCUUAUAUUUUCUUCAUAUAUUUUUCUUCUUUUUUUCAUUACUAUUUCUUCCUUCAUGAUCGUCCAAGUUCAAUCCGUAACUUGAGAGAUAAAUUGAUGAUCCAGUCAUUGUUUGCGGGUGCAGCAUCAUCAAGAUUCACAAGUGAGUAGUGUGACAUGAUUUAAUCGAUUUAGUCAUGUCGAUUGAACUCGCGGAGUUGAGAAUCUUGAUGAUGCUGCAUCAGCAAUAGAUGGCUAUACUCCCGCAGAGCUGCAAAAUGAUCAAAUUUUCAGCAUCCAAAACCAGCAAGAGCUGCAAAAGGAUCAAAUUUUCAGCAUCCAAAACCAACAAGGUAAUAAACGCUUUCUAAUCAUCAGCCAUUAAUACUCCAUAUCGUUGUUUAUUAAACAUAUAUAACUUGGUGGUUAAUUUUUCUUGAUCAUGCUCUAACGUGUACCAUCAUUAAAGUUUAAAAUAUAUAUACUUUCCUUCAUGUUCCCAUUAUAUAUAGGGUUUUUGAAUGUGUAGAUCUAGUGGGUAGCUGAAGUUACUUUAGGGUUUUGUUGGCCAUGGAAAGACGAAUUUCUGGGUGAUUCUGCUUUUGGAAUUUAGUCAUAUAUUUGGAAUUUUUUAUUUGGAAUUUUUUUGGAUCUAAAAAUUUGGGAGUUCCUGUAAUAAAACAUUCAAUUGAAUCAAAAUAUAUAGGUGGUGGCCGUCAUGUGGUUCGGUAAUUCAGGUUACUCUUCGGUGUGACAUAUCUCUAUUCCCAAUUGAAAACUUGAUAUCACCUGUGAGGGCUCUGAUUCAAUCGUGAGUUCUCUUUCUCCCAAGAAUACAACCAUCCUGUCAUCAUAGUAAUCCCAAAAAAUUUCUUGUAAAUCAUCCUGAGAAAAUUCUGAGCUAAAGCAUUUAGUAUUGCGCCAGAAGUACUAAAUAUCCAAAUAGUUUAAAAGAAAAAAGUAAAGACAAAAGACAGGUGUUGCCUCAUCUUUCCAAUAUAGAGGAAUAUGUGUGUGUGCGUGUCUGUGUAUUCUUUGCAGUAACAUGGUGGAUUUUCGGAUUCAUAAAUAUGUGCUAAUACCUGAAGAGAUGAGCUUCUAGGCCUAGUUCACAAUUAGUUAUCACCUUCGAGACUUAUAUCCGGAUAUUGCAGCAUGCCACCAACAAAUAACCUAUUUGUAUGUGAGUUAUCAAUUCUUCAAUCACUUUUUUUUAUUUACGUCACUUCUUUCUACAUCACUUGCUAUAAGGUACUUAUGUAGUGGAAAAUCUCAACAUGUAGAUGUCUGACUGAUACCAUAUAAUUAAGCAGCUAGCUAUAGCUACAAUUCAUAUUCUUUAAUGCCUCAUUCCUUCGCAUCUUAGAGCUGGUCGAUAGUACUCGAAAUACCAUGCAUGCACAUAUACAGCCAGGCUAUGCGUGACAGAAUCCCCGACAUGCAAAACAAGAUAAGCGUAGAGGCGUAGAGGCUGGAACUUUUCUUUGAUAGAAAGCCUGUGCUGGAACUCAGAACUUAGAAGAGCAAAAGAUAAUUAUGCUUCUGUGUGUGUGUGUGUGUGUGUGUAUCUGUUUCUUGUUUUCCCAUAGACAAUUGUAUGUCACAAAACCACACACACACACGUAUAGUACGUAUUAAAAGAAGAAUUUCAUGGAGGAAUGAAAAUUGAUGAUGUUUUAUAAUUAAUUAUAAUUACUAUUGGAUUGAAUAUUGUCCAGUAUUAAGUAAUGUAAUAAUUGGAAGAUGAUUUGGCUUCAACGACGGAAGAAUGACAUAGUUUGUAAUUUCAGAUUUGUACUUUGUAAUUUUACUAACACUGGCCAACUGCCUUUAAUUUUUGGAGAGCAUUUUUGUUAAGUAUGAUACUUAAGCAACCCAUGGCAAAUGUUGACUAGAAGACAGGCGCGCAUACAUGAAAAAGAAAAGAAAAGCAUGCAUAAACAUUUGGAGCCAUUCGAUUGUCAAAUACCAUUGCUUUAAUUUAUUUAUAAUCUUAAGAAUCUAAUGAUUUGCCUGGUCUAUAGGAAUUAUAAGGGAUAAAUCAUUAUUUCAAGGUAUGUUGAAUGAAGAAAUGAAAAUAUUGUGUUCAAUUUGAAGGUCGAAGAUGGUUUACUUAUAAAGAAAUAAGAAGUCCAUUGUCUAAUCUAGUAUUCGCCUCGACAUGAAAAAUCUAGCUCUCUCCUCUACCAUCAAUAUACCUUGAAUUUAAGACCUCAUUUGAUAUGAAUGGCUGGAUUAGAAUGAAGGACUCUUAAAUAUCAAGGUAUAUUGAAGGCAGAAAUGAUGGUUUUUCAUUUAGAGAGGAUUAGAAGAGUGGACUGCCUGGGGCGGUGCCACUAGCUGGUCCUCUUUUUAAGAAAAAAAAUAAAAAUUAGGAAGAGGAUUAGUCUAGUCCAUCUUCCAUCCAAUCUAGGUGUUUAUUAUUUUAUAAUUUUUCUCUUAACAUAUCUUUAAUUUAGCUGUUUAUCAUUCUAAUUCAAUCAUGUAUAACAAAUGAGUCUUAAAAGAUUAUCCAUUAUUACAAUCCAAUCAUGAAAGACAAAACGAAGACCUUAGGGUAUGCUUGCAUUUUUUUUAAGCUUAUAAGAGAACUUCUCAUAUAAAGAAAUGUUACGAACAUUAGACCCAAGUCUAUCCAAGCAUGGCCAAAGUAGUUACUAUAGAAUUGAACCGGUGAAUUUAGCAUGUACACUUGUGAAGUAGAAGAAUCUUAAGCCAUGUCAUGUGGGACAUUGAUGACAAGAGCUGUUAUGUCAAGUGAAAAGAAGGGAGAUGAAUCGUUCAUACAUUUGAAGGUCCACAAGUUUGUAGAGUGACUGAAAAAGAGAGAAGAAAAAACAACAGUAAUGAGCUAAGGCCAUAGGAGAUCAUCAACCCAACUGAAAACUGCUUUUACGCAUAUACAAAUAAUGCAUGUAAGAAUAUAACGUCUCUAGUUUCUUGAUUGAUAACUAUUCUUCAAACAUAUAUGUGGCGUGAACCUUUUUCUACAAGCAUCUCACACAUUUUAUGUUUUUAUUUGAGUUUUAUCAAUCAUUUUCCUGUCAAUCCAGCUACACAGUCUGAUGAUUUAAUAUAAGUUCGGGAUAUUAAAAUUUCAGAUAAGUUAGUACGUAUAUAAGCUAUAUAGAUAUUUUUUUUUGAGUAAAUUACAUAAAAUUACUUCAACUAUGGAUCGAAUCACAAUCUUAUACUUCAUGCUUUAAACAUUGCAAUGUCAUACCUCAAUUUAUGAAUCUGUUACAAUGUCAGACCUUCGUUAACUCUUCUAUCAAUUUGACUAUUAAAUGAUGACGUGGCAAGAGGAAGGCCCACUCAUUUGCCAAUUGGAAUAAAAAAUCAAUUAAUAUUGAUAAAUUAUUAACUGUUUUGUUAAACAAUUAAAAUUAAUUUUAAAAAAAAAAUCUUUGUUUAAAAGUUUGUAUUUGGGGUUGAUCUUGAUUUUGAUGAAAUGACCAAAAAUUAAAGUUUUCAAUUGUUGGCAGAGGGUCAUGUUCUUAAGGUAUCUCAAAGAACAUGCCAAAAUAUAUACAUCAGCUAUAACAGUAAAAAUAACCCAUAUUAAUAUUCUCCAACCAAAGUACUAAAUCCUAUAUUGCGAUUACAUGUAUUGGCAGCAAAAGAGAUUGCUGACAGCAGCGGAUCCGAAUUCGAUUUUUUUUUUUUUUUAAUCUAAACCCGGUGGCGCGCCGAGGCUUUGAAUUGUCGUCGAUCUCCUAGUUGGGAAUGACGAUUCCGGUGGAGACGAAACUGACGUGCUUGGUGACGUCGUCAUUCCUGCGUUUUUUGGAGCCGUCGUUGUCAUCGUCAUCGUCGGAAUCGCCAGUAAACUCAGUCCAUGACUCGGCCGAACCUGGUGGAAGAGCUGUCGUGAAUUUCAAGGAGUCAUUGACAAUAUGAAUGGGGAUAAAGGUUUCGGCGGCACACCAACGAGGCUGGAGAGGGUUGAGGCGACAAAUUAUGUUUGGGGGAGGUGAGGAUGGAGAUUUGGAGCGGCGGAGGAGCUUUUUUCUUGAAAUCAGGGAUUAGGGUUCUUGAGAGGGUGGUGGUGUUUUUGUCUGGGGCGAAGUUCAAGGCUUAAUUUUUUUUUUUAAUUUAAAUUUUUUUGGAUUUUAAUUUUUAAAUUUUUUUUAAAUAAUAAAGCCAGCGUGGAGUUUUAGUUAGGCAAAGAGUGAGUCUCAUGUCUAGCAUUUAACAGAAAAAUACACUGAGCUAUGAAAUUGUAACAAAUUCGUAAGUGAAUGUAUGACAUUGUAAUGUUUAAAAGAUGAGGUAUGAGUUGUUAGAAGACAAUACUAAAAUGUUAUUUACCCCUUUUUUUUAAUAUUUCCAUCAUUUUUUUUCUUC